UACGGAGGGUGCAAGCGUUAAUCGGAAUUACUGGGCGUAAAGCGCGCGUAGGCGGUUUUUUAAGUCGGAUGUGAAAGCCCCGGGCUCAACCUGGGAAUUGCAUCCGAUACUGAAUGACUAGAAUGCGGGAGAGGGAGGUAGAAUUCCAUGUGUAGCAGUGAAAUGCGUAGAUAUAUGGAGGAAUACCAGUGGCGAAGGCGGCCUCCUGGCUCGACAUUGACGCUGAGGUGCGAAAGCGUGGGGAGCAAACGGG
rnacentral:rRNA from 1 species